GCCCGGAUGGUCUAGUGGUAUGAUUCUCGCUUGUAAGUUGACCUUGUCAAAAUAUCUCCUCUACAACUUCGAUACUAAUAAAUCUUCACAGUGGGCUGUACUGUUCCAAUCUGCGAGAGGCCCCGCGUUCGAAUCGCGGUUCGGGCC